UUGGUGCCUUCGGGAACUGUGAGACAGGUGCUGCAUGGCUGUCGUCAGCUCGUGUUGUGAAAUGUUGGGUUAAGUCCCGCAACGAGCGCAACCCUUAUCCUUUGUUGCCAGCGGUUAGGCCGGGAACUCAAAGGAGACUGCCAGUGAUAAACUGGAGGAAGGUGGGGAUGACGUCAAGUCAUCAUGGCCCUUACGACCAGGGCUACACACGUGCUACAAUGGCAUAUACAAAGAGAAGCGACCUCGCGAGAGCAAGCGGACCUCAUAAAGUAUGUCGUAGUCCGGAUUGGAGUCUGCAACUCGACUCCAUGAAGUCGGAAUCGCUAGUAAUCGUAGAUCAGAAUGCUACGGUGAAUACGUUC
rnacentral:rRNA from 1 species